rnacentral:rRNA from 1 species
CUACGGGUGGCUCCAGUGAGGAAUAUUGGGCAAUGGGCGGGAGCCUGACCCAGCCAUCCCGCGUGCAGGAUGACGGCCCUAUGGGUUGUAAACUGCUUUUCCAUACCAAGAAACCUGAUUACGUGUAAUUAGUUGCCGGUAGUAUGGGAAUAAGCAUCGGCUAACUCCGUGCCAGCAGCCGCGGUAAUACGGAGGAUGCAAGCGUUAUCCGGAUUCAUUGGGUUUAAAGGGUGCGCAGGUGGGCUUGUAAGUCAGUGUUGAAAUGUUGCCGCUUAACGGUAAAAUUGCCAUUGAUACUGCAAGUCUUGAAUAUAGUUGAGGUAGGCGGAAUGUGUUGUGUAGCGGUGAAAUGCAUAGAUAUGACACAGAACACCGAUUGCGAAGGCAGCUUACUAAGCUAUUAUUGACGCUGAGGCACGAAAGCGUGGGGAUCGAACAGGAUUAGAUACCCUAGUAGUC